rnacentral:lncRNA from 1 species
AAACAUUUUAUAUUUCUUUCACCAAGUGAUUCAGUAUAUGUAUACAAUUCUAGUAUUUUAACUUCUAUUUAACGAGCACUUAGGGAAUGUGAAUUUCCGUCAUUCGACUGCGCCAAUUGCAUGCUAAGUAUUUGGUUGCGGUUAACAACCAAGGCCGGAGUACCCCCAACGUUGAAAACUAUCUACGUCUCACAAGACAAGCAAUUACGAUCUCGAACUUCAAAAAGAUUCCGUCUAUGCGGAUUGUGUUGUUAUCCUGGGAAAGCUACAAAUACCGCGUAUAAAUUUGCUAUAUUCGUAAUUGGGUUCGAAGCUAAGCGAUGCCCAGCCUACCAGUUCGGCGUACACGGAAGGAUUCCCAAUUGGAGAACGAUGACGAUCUUGGUCGUAUUGCCCAAAUUUAUCCCACCUAUGCUACACUCAGGUAGAUAUUUUUGGAUCAGCCGCAAAUUUCCUGGCUUGGCUAUGUCAAAUGACUUAAUCGACAUUUGAUUUCACGGUUUUAUUUAUACGGACAUACAUACAUGUAUUUCAUAUUUUAAAAUAUACAUAUUUGCCUUAUUUAAAAAAUAAUAAUUAAUGCUUACUGACUAGUACCUUCCGAUUUUGUUUAAAAUAAACACGUAAUUAUUAUCUCCUAAAACUAGUGCAGGCUCACAAUUACCACCUGCCUUUCAAAAA